rnacentral:rRNA from 1 species
UACGUAGGGGGCAAGCGUUGUCCGGAUUUAUUGGGCGUAAAGAGCGUGUAGGCGGUCUGGUAGGUCCGUUGUGAAAACUCGAGGCUCAACCUCGAGACGCCGAUGGAAACCAUCAGACUAGAGUCCGGAAGAGGCGAGUGGAAUUCCCGGUGUAGCGGUGAAAUGCGCAGAUAUCGGGAGGAACACCAAUGGCGAAGGCAGCUCGCUGGGACGGUACUGACGCUGAGACGCGAAAGCGUGGGGAGCAAACAGG